AUUGAACGCUGGCGGCAUGCUUUACACAUGCAAGUCGAACGGCAGCGCGGGCUUCGGCCUGGCGGCGAGUGGCGAACGGGUGAGUAAUGCAUCGGAACGUGCCCAGUAGUGGGGGAUAGCCCGGCGAAAGCCGGAUUAAUACCGCAUACGACCUGAGGGUGAAAGCGGGGGACCGAAAGGCCUCGCGCUAUUGGAGCGGCCGAUGUCGGAUUAGCUAGUUGGUGGGGUAAAGGCUUACCAAGGCGACGAUCCGUAGCUGGUCUGAGAGGACGACCAGCCACACUGGGACUGAGACACGGCCCAGACUCCUACGGGAGGCAGCAGUGGGGAAUUUUGGACAAUGGGGGCAACCCGGAUCCAGCCAGGCCGCGUGCGGGAAGAAGGCCUUCGGGUUGUAAACCGCUUUUGUUCGGGAAGAAAUCCUCUGGGCUAAUACCCCGGGGGGAUGACGGUACCGGAAGAAUAAGCACCGGCUAACGACG
rnacentral:rRNA from 1 species